rnacentral:rRNA from 1 species
ACUCAAAGGAAUUGACGGGGGCCCGCACAAGCAGCGGAGCAUGUGGUUUAAUUCGAAGCAACGCGAAGAACCUUACCUAGACUUGACAUCUCCUGAAUUACUCUGUAAUGGAGGAAGCCCUUCGGGGCAGGAAGACAGGUGGUGCAUGGUUGUCGUCAGCUCGUGUCGUGAGAUGUUGGGUUAAGUCCCGCAACGAGCGCAACCCUUAUUGUUAGUUGCUACCAUUUAGUUGAGCACUCUAGCGAGACUGCCCGGGUUAACCGGGAGGAAGGUGGGGAUGACGUCAAAUCAUCAUGCCCCUUAUGUCUAGGGCUACACACGUGCUACAAUGGCUGGUACAGAGAGAUGCGAUACCGCGAGGUGGAGCCAAACUUUAAAACCAGUCUCAGUUCGGAUUGUAGGCUGAAACUCGCCUACAUGAAGCUGGAGUUGCUAGUAAUCGCGAAUCAGAAUGUCGCGGUGAAUACGUUCCCGGGCCUUGUACACACCGCCCGU